AUCGCUUCUCGGCCUUUUGGCUAAGGUCAAGUGUAGUAUCUGUUUUUAUCAGUUUAAUAUCUGAUAUGUCAUCUAUAUGAGGACUACAUAUUAAAUUGAUUUUUAGAACAUGGAGACAGAAGACGGCCACCUCAAAACAAAC
ensembl:snRNA U2 U2 spliceosomal RNA